rnacentral:lncRNA from 1 species
CCCAGGCUGGACUCAAACUCCUGGGUUAAAGUGAUCCUCCCAUCUCGGUCUACCAAGGAGCUGGGACUACAGCUGGGACUCCAUGCCAUCGAGCGUUCUUUCCCUCUCGUUGCUGAAUGAUUUUCCUCAUUACAUCAGUUAUUCAUUCUGCUAUGGGUAGCCCGUGGGCAGUUUUCAGUUUGGGGCUAUCUCUAGUGGUUCUCAUAUGUCUCUGGUGACCAUAUAUGGGACAGCAGUCUGAAGUAGGUGAAGAGCAGAGUGAGAGGUUAGGUUUAUCUUUGGGAGGUAAGGACUGCACGUGUGUACUCCGAGGUCUGAGGCCACCGAGGAAGCCUCAGGGACUGGCCUCCGUGUAGAGCUGCUCUCACUGCCCUGGGCAUUGGGGACAAGGCCAGGACAAGCAGGACCCCGUGCGUGUUUCCUCGAAUGGCUUAUGGUCGCUUCAGAAAGACACUGGGUGUUUGUUGGCGUUCGGGCUGCCAGGGCCAUCGAAUCCGGUUGUCUGCCAGGGUGUGCAGGGGGAGUGGCGCUUUUCAGGUGUAGGAACAGCUCUGGAAAUAAACGAGGGAUGGAAAAAGGAGACAGACUAGGCCCUCCACAGCCCAGCUGCAUGUGUCCUUGGCGAAGUCACUUUUCAUUUGAAAACCAUCACUGCCUCCUCUGUAAUGUGUGAACGAUGAUCCCACCUCCCAGAUGUAUUGCAGGAGAGGGUUGUAGAAGAGAAGGUUUGCAAAAGCACUGAGACCUGAAAGAUAAUAAACGUGUAUGAAUCCGUACCUGACGCUAGGGGGCGUUAAAGAGAGUGUGGUUCCCUACUGGGUUGGGGUCAACUGUGCGGAGUGGGACGGGGAACCUUUGGAGUAGUGUCCUUCAAGAGAAGUGUGGUGCCAAAGCAUAUGAUUCUGAAU